CCCUCAAGGAUUGAGCUCAUAACGCUGGGUUUAGUAGGCCAAUGCUCAAACCACUGAGCUAUCCAUCCUCUCCUUAUUUCACCCCGAUCUCACCCAUUCAAUCAGACACCUCUGAUCCUCUCCCCAUAGGUCUCUGCAUCCCCACUUGCAUUCAGCCCCUUGCUCAAUGUCACCCCACUGACUCCUGUGACCACCACCACCCAGCAGCCCCAUGUGCCCCAUUGUGUCCAUCCCCCCUAUAUCGCUUACCUCCACACCUGGCCCCAUGGACAGAGUGCUGUGAAGAAAGAACCUCUAACCCCCUCCCUCUUCUCCAGCCGUAAGCCAGCUGCCCUCUCUUUUGGUGCCACAGCAGCCUCUAGUAGGCAAAAGCUGUAAUUACAGUGCUUCCCCAUCAAAAUCAAUUCUGCAGUGAUAAGAAAUCAGCAGGGCCUAUGAAUUCUGGGCUUGCACAGAAAUGCAGAAUUCCUCCAGAAAUAUUGCAUAUGAAGCGACACUACUGGUGUUAUCAGUGAGAUGUAGGGAAAAAUCAAGCCCUGGUACAGAGGUGCCUAGAGCUGUUAGGGUUCUUUCAUUAACUAUACUCUCCUGUUGGCCAUGUGGUUGCCAACUUUCAUUUCUGAAAACAGGACCCUACAGCAAGAGUGCUGGAAGUUUCUCCUGCCCCACCUUGUCCCCCAAAGGCUCUAGCCCCUGUUCUGCCUCUUUCAUUGAUGCCCUGACCCUUCCCCCCACUUUCCCCUCUCCCGUCCCACCGCAUUUCUCGUCACUCAAUCUUCACUCUUCCCCAUCAGAGCUCUCUCUAUGCCAGGGAUGGGAUGGGAUGGGAGCUGCAGCCCCGACAUGGAGACUGUCUGCCCACAAGAUACAGAUAGGAGGUGUCCCUGAGUGUGCAAAGGCUGGAGUGGGUUGAUGACCCUCUCCCACCUGCCCCAACCCCUGGUAACCAGACUUUUGGUGUGCAGUCAGUAGAUCUGAAAAGAAGCUGCAGAUCCCCUUUGACUGGACUUUCUGGUUUAAAAAAAAAAAAAGGACACUUGGCAACCCUAGCCAAGGACCACGCAAUUGAUUCAAAUCACUGUAUAUGACUGAUGAAUUACUAUCCAAGGACAGAGCAGUCCAGGUGUGGGAAGAGACUUUCUAUAGAGAAGCUGUUCUAACAUCCAGAUUGACAUUUCUGCAGACAGCUAUGGGUGCUGAUGGAAAAACCGUGGAGUCAUGCAAAGUUGGACAAACGAGCGCGUGGCAGACAGCCCAUGGAAAGUAACAUGUGGAGCUAAGUUCUCCUACGCAUGUUGCAGAUGUGAUGGCAACAAGGAGGACCACUUUCACUGACAGAUGUAGGAGCAGACAUGUAGCCAAGAGUUCAAACGGAGGUCUGCAUGGUCCAGAAAGGUGUCCAGUCUGGAUUUGAAGACACCAGGAGAUGGAGAACUCACUUCCCUUGGUAACACUGAGAUCAGAACAAAAUCUGAGAGCAGAAAUUGACCAGAGCAGGAAAUGCGCAAGGGGUGGGGCGAAGGGACCUCGGACAGGACAGGAGACAGAUUCUGAAAUCACUUCCACUUCUCUUCCGGCGCAGACUGACAGCAGCGUCCUGACUCCCUUUGGGCAGGGCUGGCAUACAGAAGACAUGGGAAAAGCUGCUGUGGCAGACCCUGGAAGAGCAGGGGGACCAAGAGCUGAGGAGAUAUGAGAGCAGGCUGCAAGUGGCCCUGCUGGACAGAGGAGUGAGGCACAUUCCCUGUGAGAAGCUGGACAUAGGGUCUGCCACAGCUAUUAACAAUGUGCUGAUCAGGUUCUGUGCCGAGCGCUGUGGGGUGGAAGUGACCGUGAAGGUGCUAACAGACAUCGACCACAGAGACAGUACAGAAUGAGCUCAGGAGAGAUCAGACCCCCUCAUGGGGAACCCCUAUUACACACCCCGACCUGCCCUCUUAUUUCCGUGCACAGCCCAGCCAGGGAUAAAUCCAGCUCUUGCCAUCAGGAAUCAGCAGCUCAAUUCCCCGAAGCUUGUCCCCUUCUGCCCUGUUCCCUCCAGCCUCUUCCAGUCCUGCCUCUUCCCCACCUGUGGCUCCUCAGUCCAGUCCCACUCAUCUUUCCAGCAAGUCCCAGGUUCUCCUUGCCCAGCCAGUCCCAGUUCCCCCCAGUUCCUCAUCUGAUCUGUAUCUCCCCCUCCCACUACUGGUUCUUAGCCCGUUUUCUUGUCCAGCCAGUCCCUGUCUCACCCUGUCCAAUCUCGCUGUGCCCUGUCUCCCCAGCCCUCCACCCAGCGGGUCCCAGUCCCCUGUCGUUUCUGUCACUGGCCGAGUCGUGGGUGCUCUGGCCUAAUGGGCAGAGCAAGAGUCUGAACUCAGAAGAGACGGGUCCUGAGGCAGAGCCAAAGGUCGGAGCUGGGAGAUAGAAGCCAAAGUCUAAGCCGAAGGGUAACGAGUCACAGUCAGGAGGCACAGCCAAGGGUCGGAGCUGGGAGUCCAAAGCCAGCAUGGAGCUGGGACUGGGCCUGGGGCAGGCGUAGGUGCAGGCUGGGGCUGGAGCAGGAGCAGAGCUAGACACAGCACAGCAGGGGCAGGACCCAGCGCAGCUGCAGCCAAGGAACACGUUGAGCAGUCGGUGCUCUGCUGUUGUUGCUGGACUUAUCAACCAGGCUGCUGGCCCGGUGGCCAGUCAGACCCUGCAAUCAAUCAGGCAGCUGGGCCUACUAGUUGCCAGGCAGCAAAGCUAGUCGGGGAGCAGCCCAGUGACUGCUCCUAGCUGACCUGACCCCUGUGACUUCCCUACUUUCCGGGGUGCCUCCCAGAAGCCCUAGAACCAGAAUUCUUGGGGUCUGCCCUGGGAAAGUUACGCACAAGGCUCAGGGCACGGCUAUGUUCCAUGGGAUCCCAUGAACUCUCAGAACUCCCCGUUUCCUUUAACAAAGAAAAGCCACGGGGUGACUUGCUUACAGUCUGUAAGUAUCACAUAGGGAACAAAUAUUUCAUAAUGGGCUCAUCAAUCUUGCUGACAAAGGUAUAACAUGAUCCAGUGGCUGGAAGUUGAAGCAGGACACAUUCAGAUUGGAACUAGGGCACCCAUUUCUGGCACUGAACGUAAUUAACCAUUUUGGAACAAUUUACAAAGGUCUUGGUGGAUUCUCAAGAUGGGAUGUUUUGUUAAAUGAUCUGCUCUAGGAAUCUCCCACCCCCUCAAAUCUUCUCUAUACUUCUGCCACCCACACCCAAGAACUCUCCUGGUUCACUCCCAGGAUCCUCCCAGCAAUUAUUUCCCUCUCCCUCACUCCUCCGUUACCUGACUCCCGCAAGCCUUUGCACUGCUUCUGAGGGGUGCGGGAAAUAUAUCUCUAUAUUGUAUUUUACAUGAAUUAUUACUCAAAGUUUUGUAUUAAUAUGCCUAGUAAGGAAUCCAUUUGUCAAAAACACCUCAUGAAUCUUUUUUGCCAUCUGUAUUGUUACCGACAUACUUGCUGACAGGGAUUUUUUUAAAUAAAUUAGCAAAAUAAUUGAAACUAGUGUGAUUAUACAGUGUU